rnacentral:lncRNA from 1 species
UCUAAAUCAGAUAGGGGAAAGGAGAAAGCAGUCGAGUAGAUUAUCCGCAACUGUUCAAAAUAUCCGAGGUAAGUUUUCAGUAGUCUCCUUUAGUAUAUAAUUGACAAUGUCUUUAUAAGAGUAUAUUAGGUGAAUUGCGAUCUUUGGUUUACACUUGAAUAAAGUUGAAUAAUAGAUAAUGCAUGUAUAUGACUUAUUGUCUGAUGGUCACUUUGAGUUUAAGAUUAAAUGGUGAAAAGAAUGAGUGAUAUGAGAUAUAACUCUUGAGCUGAAAUGUGAAUGAUGAUGUGC